rnacentral:rRNA from 1 species
CACCGGCGGACGGCUCAGUAACACGUCGGUAACCUACCCUCGGGAGGGGGAUAACCCCGGGAAACUGGGGCUAAUCCCCCAUAGGCCUGGGGUACUGGAAGGUCCCCAGGCCGAAAGGGAGCCGUAAGGCUCCGCCCGAGGAUGGGCCGGCGGCCGAUUAGGUAGUUGGUGGGGUAACGGCCCACCAAGCCGAAGAUCGGUACGGGCCGUGAGAGCGGGAGCCCGGAGAUGGACACUGAGACACGGGUCCAGGCCCUACGGGGCGCAGCAGGCGCGAAACCUCCGCAAUGCGGGAAACCGCGACGGGGGGACCCCCAGUGCCGUGCCUCUGGCACGGCUUUUCCGGAGUGUAAAAAGCUCCGGGAAUAAGGGCUGGGCAAGGCCGGUGGCAGCCGCCGCGGUAAUACCGGCGGCCCGAGUGGUGGCCACUAUUAUUGGGCCUAAAGCGGCCGUAGCCGGGCCCGUAAGUCCCUGGCGAAAUCCCACGGCUCAACCGUGGGGCUCGCUGGGGAUACUGCGGGCCUUGGGACCGGGAGAGGCCGGGGGUACCCCCGGGGUAGGGGUGAAAUCCUAUAAUCCCGGGGGGACCGCCAGUGGCGAAGGCGCCCGGCUGGAACGGGUCCGACGGUGAGGGCCGAAGGCCAGGGGAGCGAACCGGAUUAGAUACCCGGGUAGUCCUGGCUGUAAAGGAUGCGGGCUAGGUGUCGGGCGAGCUUCGAGCUCGCCCGGUGCCGUAGGGAAGCCGUUAAGCCCGCCGCCUGGGGAGUACGGCCGCAAGGCUGAAACUUAAAGGAAUUGGCGGGGGAGCACUACAAGGGGUGGAGCGUGCGGUUUAAUUGGAUUCAACGCCGGGAACCUCACCGGGGGCGACGGCAGGAUGAAGGCCAGGCUGAAGGUCUUGCCGGACGCGCCGAGAGGAGGUGCAUGGCCGCCGUCAGCUCGUACCGUGAGGCGUCCACUUAAGUGUGGUAACGAGCGAGACCCGCGCCCCCAGUUGCCAGUCCCUCCCGCUCGGGAGGGAGGCACUCUGGGGGGACUGCCGGCGAUAAGCCGGAGGAAGGGGCGGGCGACGGUAGGUCAGUAUGCCCCGAAACCCCCGGGCUACACGCGCGCUACAAUGGGCGGGACAAUGGGUGCCGACCCCGAAAGGGGGAGGUAAUCCCCUAAACCCGCCCUCAGUUCGGAUCGCGGGCUGCAACUCGCCCGCGUGAAGCUGGAAUCCCUAGUACCCGCGCGUCAUCAUCGCGCGGCGAAUACGUCCCUGCUCCUUGCACACACCGCCCGUCACUCCACCCGAGCGGGGCCUAGGUGAGGCCCGAUCUCCUUCGGGAGGUCGGGUCGAGCCUAGGCUCCGUGAGGGGGG